UGCAAGUCGAGCGGAAGGCCCUUCGGGGUACUCGAGCGGCGAACGGGUGAGUAACACGUGAGCAACCUGCCCUAGGCUUUGGGAUAACCCCGGGAAACCGGGGCUAAUACCGAAUAUUACCCGCGAUCGCAUGGUUGUGGGUGGAAAGUUUUUCGGCCUGGGAUGGGCUCGCGGCCUAUCAGCUUGUUGGUGGGGUGAUGGCCUACCAAGGCGACGACGGGUAGCCGGCCUGAGAGGGCGACCGGCCACACUGGGACUGAGACACGGCCCAGACUCCUACGGGAGGCAGCAGUGGGGAAUAUUGCACAAUGGGCGGAAGCCUGAUGCAGCGACGCCGCGUGAGGGAUGACGGCCUUCGGGUUGUAAACCUCUUUCAGCAGGGACGAAGCGUAAGUGACGGUACCUGCAGAAGAAGCACCGGCCAACUACGUGCCAGCAGCCGCGGUAAGACGUAGGGUGCGAGCGUUGUCCGGAUUUAUUGGGCGUAAAGAGCUCGUAGGCGGCUUGUCGCGUCGACUGUGAAAACCCGCGGCUCAACCGCGGGCCUGCAGUCGAUACGGGCAGGCUAGAGUUCGGUAGGGGAGACUGGAAUUCCUGGUGUAGCGGUGAAAUGCGCAGAUAUCAGGAGGAACACCGGUGGCGAAGGCGGGUCUCUGGGCCGAUACUGACGCUGAGGAG
rnacentral:rRNA from 1 species